rnacentral:rRNA from 1 species
CGACUAAGCGUACACGGUGGAUGCCCUGGCAGUCAGAGGCGAUGAAGGACGUGCUAAUCUGCGAUAAGCGUCGGUAAGGUGAUAUGAACCGUUAUAACCGGCGAUUUCCGAAUGGGGAAACCCAGUGUGUUUCGACACACUAUCAUUAACUGAAUCCAUAGGUUAAUGAGGCGAACCGGGGGAACUGAAACAUCUAAGUACCCCGAGGAAAAGAAAUCAACCGAGAUUCCCCCAGUAGCGGCGAGCGAACGGGGAGCAGCCCAGAGCCUGAAUCAGUGUGUGUGUUAGUGGAAGCGUCUGGAAAGGCGCGCGAUACAGGGUGACAGCCCCGUACACAAAAAUGCACAUGCUGUGAGCUCGAUGAGUAGGGCGGGACACGUGGUAUCCUGUCUGAAUAUGGGGGGACCAUCCUCCAAGGCUAAAUACUCCUGACUGACCGAUAGUGAACCAGUACCGUGAGGGAAAGGCGAAAAGAACCCCGGCGAGGGGAGUGAAAAAGAACCUGAAACCGUGUACGUACAAGCAGUGGGAGCACGCUUAGGCGUGUGACUGCGUACCUUUUGUAUAAUGGGUCAGCGACUUAUAUUCUGUAGCAAGGUUAACCGAAUAGGGGAGCCGAAGGGAAACCGAGUCUUAACUGGGCGUUAAGUUGCAGGGUAUAGACCCGAAACCCGGUGAUCUAGCCAUGGGCAGGUUGAAGGUUGGGUAACACUAACUGGAGGACCGAACCGACUAAUGUUGAAAAAUUAGCGGAUGACUUGUGGCUGGGGGUGAAAGGCCAAUCAAACCGGGAGAUAGCUGGUUCUCCCCGAAAGCUAUUUAGGUAGCGCCUCGUGAAUUCAUCUCUGGGGGUAGAGCACUGUUUCGGCAAGGGGGUCAUCCCGACUUACCAACCCGAUGCAAACUGCGAAUACCGGAGAAUGUUAUCACGGGAGACACACGGCGGGUGCUAACGUCCGUCGUGAAGAGGGAAACAACCCAGACCGCCAGCUAAGGUCCCAAAGUCAUGGUUAAGUGGGAAACGAUGUGGGAAGGCCCAGACAGCCAGGAUGUUGGCUUAGAAGCAGCCAUCAUUUAAAGAAAGCGUAAUAGCUCACUGGUCGAGUCGGCCUGCGCGGAAGAUGUAACGGGGCUAAACCAUGCACCGAAGCUGCGGCAGCGACGCUUAUGCGUUGUUGGGUAGGGGAGCGUUCUGUAAGCCUG